AUGCGGCGGGAGAAGCGGCUCUACAGCUUCCUGGGCCUCCUCCUCCUCCUCGCCGUCGUGUACCUAAACUGGCUCCCGGGCCGCGACCCCGCCGCCCCCGGCGGCGGCGGCCUCAAGCUGCCGGUGCCGUGGCUGCAGCCGCGGAUGUCGUUCGCGGGCCGCAACGGCACCCACUUCGUGGACGCCGACACGGGCGCGCCGCUCUACGUCAACGGCUGGAACUCCUACUGGCUGCUCUCGUCGCGGUCGCCCGCGCUCGUGUCGGAGAUGCUGCGCCGGGGCCGCCGCAUGGGCCUCGGCGUCUGCCGCACCUGGGCCUUCAUCGACGGCGGCCCCGGCGCGCUUCAGAUCUCCCCCGGCCGCUUCAACGAAGCCGUUUUCCAGGUAUUGGAUUACAUUAUAUAUGAAGCCCGGAGAAAUCAUAUUAGGUUGAUUCUUUGCCUUGUCAACAACCUUGAUAACUUCGGAGGGAAGGCCCAAUAUGUUAAGUGGGCACAAGCAGCUGGAGCUAACUUGACGAAUUCAACCGAUUCUUUUUUCUAUCACCCAACCAUUAAGGGUUACUACAAGGAUUUUGUGAAGGCAAUAUUAACCAGAAGGAACUCUUACAGUGGAAUCAGAUACUCUGAUGAACCUGCUAUAUUUGCUUGGGAACUCAUGAAUGAGCCUAGGUGUGUGUCCAACUCAUCUGGUCCCCAUCUUCAGGCUUGGAUAGCAGAGAUGGCAGCGUAUGUCAAGAGUCUGGACACUAAACAUCUUGUUACAGUAGGAAUUGAAGGGUUUUAUGGCACUGGAAUAGCUGAGAGGCUGGGUUAUAAUCCUGGGGACUGGGCAGCUUCAUUCUGCUCAGACUUCAUACAGAACUCAGCAGUCGAGAAUAUUGAUUUUGCAUCGGUGCAUGCUUACCCUGACAGCUGGCUACCAAAGGCAAGCAUGGAAGAAAAACUCAGAUACCUUUCCAGUUGGGUUGAUUCACACCUUAAUGACAGCGAACACAUCUUGAAGAAACCCGUUCUGUUCUCAGAAGUAGGUUACCUGCAGCACGUAGAUGGUAACAGCACAGUUGAUAGAGAUAUUCUUCUAAGAGUUGUUUACGACAAAAUCUAUGAUUCAGCGAGGAAGCUUCAGGCAGGCGGUGGUGCUCUUAUUUGGCAGUUGAUGGUAGAAGGAACACAUAUGUACCACGAUGACUUCUCCCUGGUGGCACGUGAUCAUCCCUCGACUUAUAAGUUGAUAACGGAGCAGUCUUGUCGAUUGCAAAUGCUGUACAAGAAUGAUAAGAGACCCUGA
rnacentral:rRNA from 1 species